AGCUUGACGUAGGAGAUGAUGAUUCCGUUGACCAUACCGCAGGCGACACCCAUCGCGAGAGUCGCGAGGAUGCCGACGGCGAGCGGCA
rnacentral:sRNA from 1 species